UCUCUGCUUUUCUUUCUUUACCUAACGGGUUAGCGUCGGGGUCGGGGUCGGGACAAAGGGUAGGGUGGGGGGCGCUCAGGAGGGGAAGAAGGAGAGGGAGAGGGAGCAGGCGGCGGCGGCGGCGGCUGCUGGAUGGAGGAGCCGGCGACGAGGAGCGCGAGAUAUACGAGGAGGUGGCGUACCUAAGCAGCUAGGGUAGGAAGACACCAACGGACGUAGCCAAAAUGGGUAGAUCCCAAAGCCACACCAGCUGGAUGAGCAGCGGCCGCUACGAGACCACGCAACCAGGCAAGCAGAGGCAGAGGACAGUACGAGAGAGCACCACAACACGGAGGACCUACCGCGAGGACACGGAGCCUACGUACGGGGAGAGAGGGCUCGAGCUACUCUUCGUCGCCGCGGGGGAAAGAGGGCUCGAGGUUUAGGUAGGGUUGUCGCGAUUCCAUUGGUCGCCGUCUCCGAGGGUGGAUCGUGGAGAGAGGAGGACGGGGGAGGAACGGGAGGAUACACAAAAGCUAAAAAAGACGCACACGAACGUGCAAGUACCUAGAUCUAUCGUCUAAUACAAAAGACACAUUAUAAAGUAUCCGAAUUUGAAGUUCCUCAUCUACAUUACGAAAACAGAAAACGGAGGGAGGUACAAUAGUCAUGUCCCUAGGAUUAAACCCGAGACGAGGUUAGUUGUUUAUCUCACGUUGGGAACUCAAGUAGGGCUAUGUCACCGUCAGUGUAUUCUACCUCGUACCUUUACCUGCUCGUCAGGUAUAAUAAGUUAACCCAAACUGACGUAGAGCAGAUUGAUUAUCUGCCUGUUUGUGUUGACCUUCUUUUACUACCUUUCAUGUCGAACACCGUUCUUUCAAAGUAAUCUGUAAAACUUUCCCACCAAACCACACGCUUUUUGACAACCUGAACUAUCAAUUACUCGCACAACAAUAGUCCCAAGCCCGACCCAGUAGCCAGACCCGACGAGUACGGAUCCAAAUGUACGUUCAAUAUACUUUAUACACACAUAUAGAAUUACAAGAGAUGGUCAAUUCUCACCUCUACGGGAAAAGAUCCGUACGUUACCGUUGGACCAACUAACGUCGAAGAAGGAACUCCAUAAGUUUAUGGACUAUACAGAGUUGUAUAACUAUGAAAAACAUACAAAGUAUGAGGUUAUGAUAGUUAAUAUGUGAAACCCGUAUAAAAACUGAACAUAACCUGAUUGUAUUUUUAGAUCACAAUCAGAGUUAAAAACCAGGUUUUUUUCAGUAAAGACCUACAAAGCACAACCCUCUCUCG
rnacentral:rRNA from 1 species